CCCCAAGUCGUUGUAAACGCUGUCAGCGGGUAUCACCAGAUAGUCAAAUCUUCAAAUAUCCACCUUUUUGUAAACCUUUGAUUCUCGUUGUUGCUCGGUUUGAAAUGCAGCAUGACGCUGUUGUUAAUCACGUCUACAUGUCAAAGCAACUUUGUCAGGCAGAAUCGGAAUGCCCUCUUCUGGUGAGAGAACGAUUCAGGAGCUCGUCCAAUGUCGUCACGAUCAUGCUUUGGUGGCUAAGUAUCCGCAUCUUACCUGUUUACUUAUGUGGUUUCUCGCCUGGUUCUUUGAUGAAUAUCUUACACUCACCUGCCUGCGCUUCUACUCAUCACCAUUCUCAAGUGUCUGGAAAGGACAAAACUGGGUUUGGUUCCAAACUCUUGCUCCACUGGACACUCACCUUGCUAUCUCUGUUUCACAAUGAAUCUUUCCCUUGUGAAGCUCAUGUCUCGUGAUUACCUGUUGCCCAAGUUUCCCAUGAUAAAUA
ensembl:lncRNA